rnacentral:misc_RNA from 1 species
AGUGUAGUGCCCACGGAUGACAGGUGCGCUCUCAUUAUUAUCUCUGUGAAUGAUAGAUGUGAUGGUAACAUCAUCACAUUUCAUCUAGAUAUAUGAUUCAACAAAAAGAAGCUGAUGCUGAAUAAAAUUCUGAUAAAGUAGCAACCAAUAUACAAGAGAGUAAAUUCUUUGAAUCAAUGGUUCUUCCAAUCUAUUAAUCUACAAAACAAUUGCAAAAUUACAUUACUUGUGUUCCCCAUGGUCAUAACAAAGGCGCUGAACAAAGCUAGUUAAGCAGUCCAAAUAUUCCAAAUAAGGUCCUACAGGGAAAUAACAAAGAACAUAAUGUCUUACAAAUCUGUUGGGUAUUGAAUAUUAACUGUGAAAAGAUAGGAUGAGUUUUGGCUCUGUUUGGGUACAUGAACAGACUCACGAUGAUAAAGGUGGGGAUUGAAUUAAUACUGUUUAAAAUUUAAAAGGUUUUGUGUUCAAUGUCAUUCAUAUUUCAAGAAACUAUACUAAAAGCUUUGCAAUUAAAUAAAUCUUGGUAUGCAUAAUUUUAUUUCUAUGCUUGUUUUGAGUUGCUAGGCAGAUUGUUUAUUCUUUGAUGAACUGGCAAAAGUCAUGGGUGGCUGAGCCUUUGCAAUGGUGAUCAAUGAAAUGAAGUAGACUAAGGAUCUGAAAUUUUCGCAUGAGUUCUUUCCUCACGCAUACGCAUAUUACAGUAACUACGACAAUGAGUUUCAUAAUCUAUUUU